UUCGAUACGCGCCUAGCCAACUCCAGCCUCCACACCCAGAUCGCCCUCUCCUCCCACCUCAGCCGCCAGGGCCUGCUGACUCCAUCUGUGGCCCACCCCAGGCCCGAACCAGCCGCUGCUCGCGAGCGAGUUCGCAUCGUCUCCUGCAGGAGCUCGCGUGCAAGCCCCGCGCGUGAGAGCUCCGCGCCAAUUCCUGCUCCUCCCCCGUGAACCAGCGCCCGUGCUGGUCGACGGCUGGCCGCCGAAGCGCCACCGCCGACCAGGAUCCUGGUGACCUCGCGUCGUCCGCCAUCUAUCUUCCUCUUCCCUCCAUUUCACUCUCUCACCCCGCAGACUCCCUCCCCCGCAGGAACAUCGUUGCAGCUCGUGCACCUCGCCAUUGGUCGACUCCACCUGUGUCGCUGUCAGAUCCGCCCCCUAGCACGUCCCCGGCCCGCCUUCAUGGCUCGUCCAUCGCCGCGGUAGAUGCUGGCACUGCUACAGCCUCCCUGCCUCGUCCCGAUCGGAUCCUCGGGGCCGAGCAUGUAUCCCACUCGCGUUCACUACUCAGCCUUCGUGUGGGCCACGCAAAGGACCAGUUCACCUGCGACCGGCCAGCACUACAGCACCAUCGCCCCGGCUGGCCCGCCUUGCCUUAUCAAGGCCGAGCUCACCCCGGCCCAGCUCAGCCUCGAUCCACCCCGACCUGCCCCAGCCUGCUACCCUAAAUAGGCCAAGCCCACUAGGUGAGCCACUGAUCUCCGCUAUCUGCCACUCGGGUCGUAGUUUAACUAUCUCGCGCAUAUAGAUUCGGCCCAUGCAUUUUUUUCGUUGUAGGAAUUUAGCUAAUUCUCGUGGAGAUUUUUAAAUUACACCAAAAUGCAUCAUUUUAAAAUGCCGAUAACUAAUUAACCUUGC
rnacentral:lncRNA from 1 species